rnacentral:misc_RNA from 1 species
UUUCCGUAGGUGAACCUGCGGAAGGAUCAUUACAGAGUUCAUGCCCUCACGGGUAGAUCUCCCACCCUGAAUAUUUAUACCUUAGUUGCUUUGGCAGGCCGUGGAAACACCAUGGGCUCCGGCUUAUGCGUGCCUGCCAGAGGAAACAAACUCUGUUUUUAGUGAUGUCUGAGUACUAUAUAAUAGUUAAAACUUUCAACAACGGAUCUCUUGGUUCUG